rnacentral:rRNA from 1 species
AAUGCGUAGAGAUCUGGAGGAAUACCGGUGGCGAAGGCGGCCCCCUGGACAAAGACUGACGCUCAGGUGCGAAAGCGUGGGGAGCAAACAGGAUUAGAUACCCUGGUAGUCCACGCCGUAAACGAUGUCGACUUGGAGGUUGUGCCCUUGAGGCGUGGCUUCCGGAGCUAACGCGUUAAGUCGACCGCCUGGGGAGUACGGCCGCAAGGUUAAAACUCAAAUGAAUUGACGGGGGCCCGCACAAGCGGUGGAGCAUGUGGUUUAAUUCGAUGCAACGCGAAGAACCUUACCUACUCUUGACAUCCAGAGAACUUUCCAGAGAUGGAUUGGUGCCUUCGGGAACUCUGAGACAGGUGCUGCAUGGCUGUCGUCAGCUCGUGUUGUGAAAUGUUGGGUUAAGUCCCGCAACGAGCGCAACCC